rnacentral:rRNA from 1 species
UCCCAGACUCCUACGGGAGGCAGCAGUGGGGAAUAUUGCACAAUGGGGGAAACCCUGAUGCAGCGACGCCGCGUGAGUGAAGAAGUAUUUCGGUAUGUAAAGCUCUAUCAGCAGGGAAGAAAAUGACGGUACCUGACUAAGAAGCCCCGGCUAACUACGUGCCAGCAGCCGCGGUAAUACGUAGGGGGCAAGCGUUAUCCGGAUUUACUGGGUGUAAAGGGAGCGUAGGCGGCAGUGCAAGUCAGAAGUGAAAGCCCGGGGCUCAACUCCGGGACUGCUUUUGAAACUGUACAGCUUGAUUGCAGGAGAGGCAAGUGGAAUUCCUAGUGUAGCGGUGAAAUGCGUAGAUAUUAGGAGGAACACCAGUGGCGAAGGCGGCUUGCUGGACUGUAAAUGACGCUGAGGCUCGAAAGCGUGGAGAGCAAACAGGAUUAGAUACCCCCGUA